rnacentral:tmRNA from 1 species
GGGGCCGACAGGUUUCGACAGCAAUUUUAGGUCAGUGAUCGCAUGCGGACCAACCAGAACAAGUCCUUAAACUGACAUGGGAUUCCCUUAACUGCGGAACCGUUCGAACUCCCGGUCGCGGCCUAAUAACCCGACCCAACGACCAACACCACGCCGAUAGAGUUGGAAGUUGUCAUCGAUUCGGCUUAGGAGCCAAUGAGAGUAGCCUACGUAACUCUCCUCCGAAGUGGGUUUGUGGGUGGUGGAGGCAUCGCCAGCUCGGUGCCCCGUAAGACCCACCGUCUGGGGUAAUCAGACUAAGCAUGUAGACGUCACUGGUUUAGGUUGUUUGGACGGCGGUUCAAUUCCGCCCGGCUCCACCA